UGCGGGAUAGAAAUAGUGGCUAGCAAACAAAAACAAUCUCUAGCAUUAAUUUUGAUCAUCUUGAAAAGAAAACUCACACUGCAGGACUGUGCAUCAAAACUUGACACUGUGUAAGACUCCAGCUUUUAAUGAUUCUCCCAGCCUCUAGAUGGUGCUGAUUUGUAAAGACUCUCCCAACCACUAGUUGCCAUUGACACUUAUGCCAUGUAAUGACUCUCACAGCUACUUGGUGGCACCAGCUUCUAUAGAAUUCAUUGUGUUGCUACUCAUUAGGAUUUGAUUUCUCCCACCUGUAGUUCAUUAGCUUGUUUGUGUUGGCCUAUUUAAGCAAGCCUCUUUCUUUCAGUUGGGUUUAGUCUUGAGCCUAGUAUGCAUGUGUUAUCCUCCCCAAAAAAGCUAAGGGUGUAUUCACACCCGUCUUGUUUGGUUCGACUGAAUCGAACUCAAGUUCAUUUCCCCCCUUGGUGUGGAUCUUUUUGGACAGCAAUCACACUGGGGUGCGGACCAAACAACCAUACCGAGACCCAGCUGAGGAGGUGGUCUCGGUCCUGUUCCAAACGAACUCUGCAAACCAACAUCAAAAGCCAGUUUGUCAGAGGAGAGGCCUGACGUGGACAGACAGCAAAGAUACUAAAACAAGACAGAAGGGACAUCAUAUUCAAAAUGUAAACUUCAUAGUACCAGUAUGGAAGCCACUAAUUAAUAACCACGGAAGAUAAAGACUGGUCUUACCAUGUCACUGAAGGCAUGUCGAAACAACACUGCCUGGCCAUAGAGCAGAGUACGACGCCCAGUUGCCUCAUGUGACUGAAACAAAACACUCUGUGAGAUUUUACAGUUUACAGUCUAUUGUUUGGCGCAACUUUAACAUUUGUUUACAAGUUACAGCAUGAGUAAGAAAUGUCAACUGUAUAUUGAUCUGAGGUAUUUUAUCGUUCAAACAUUUGGGUUAGUUUUUUUAAUCUUUAUGAAAGAAGUCUCUUAUGCUCUUAUGUCUCAAAUACAAUAAAACGGUUAUAUUGUGAAAUUUUA